UAGCGGGAAUGGAAUCCCGUGGCAAGCGAGGUAGGAGUCGCGUUGGCAAAUCCGCGUGACAAUCCGAAGACGUGAUGCAUACCGAACUGAAGUAGGGAAAUGUGUGAGCCAGCUGCCAAGAAAAGCCGCUAUUGUUUGUACUGUACCCGUACCGUAAACCGACACAGGUAGGUGAGGAGAGAAUCCUAAGGCCGACGGGAGAAGCAUUGUUAAGGAACUCGGCAAAAUGACUCCGUAACUUCGGGAGAAGGAGUGCCAGUGAGAGCUGGCCGCAGAGAAUUGGCCAAGCAACUGUUUAGCAAAAACACAGGUCUAUGCAAAACCGUAAGGUGAAGUAUAUGGGCUGACGCCUGCCCGGUGCUGGAAGGUUAAGGGGAGAGGUUAGCGCAAGCGAAGCUUUGAACUUAAGCCCCAGUAAACGGCGGCCGUAACAAUAACGGUCCUAAGGUAGCGAAAUUCCUUGUCGGGUAAGUUCCGACCCGCACGAAAGGCGUAAUGAUUUGGGCACUGUCUCAACAAUGCACCCGGUGAAAUUGAAAUACCAGUGAAGAUGCUGGUUACCUGCGCCAGGACGGAAAGACCCCAUGGAGCUUUACUCCAGCUUGAUACUGGGAUUCGAUAUUGUAUGUACAGGAUAGGUGGGAGGCGAAGAAGCAUUGACGCCAGUUGAUGCGGAGCCGCUGUUGGGAUACCACCCUUGCAGUAUUGGAUUUCUAACCAGCAGCCGUGACCCGGCUGGGGGACAAUGUCAGGUGGGGAGUUUGACUGGGGCGGUCGCCUCCGAAAGGGUAUCGGAGGCGCUCAAAGGUUCCCUCAGAAUGGUUGGAAACCAUUCAAAUAGUGCAAAGGCAGAAGGGAGCCUGACUGCGACACCGACGGGUGGAGCAGGUACGAAAGUAGGACUUAGUGAUCCGGUGGUAUAAAGUGGGAUUGCCAUCGCUCAACGGAUAAAAGCUACCCUGGGAUAACAGGCUUAUCACUCCCAAGAGUUCACAUCGACGGAGUGGUUUGGCACCUCGAUGUCGGCUCAUCGCAUACUGGGGCUGAAGUAGGUCCCAAGGGUUGGGCUGUUCGCCCAUUAAAGCGGUACGCGAGCUGGGUUCAGAACGUCGUGAGACAGUUCGGUCCCUAUCCGGCGUGGGCGUAGGAUAUUUGAGAGGAGCUGGCCUUAGUACGAGAGGACCGGGCUGGACUGACCGCUGGUGUAUCUGUUGUUCCGCCAGGAGCAUGGCAGAGUAGCCAAGUCAGGAAGGGAUAAACGCUGAAGGCUCUAAGCGUGAAGCCCCCCUCAAGAUGAGAUAUCCCAACGCAAGUUGUAAGACCCCUUGAAGACGACAAGGUAGAUAGGGCAGAGGUGGAAGUGCAGUAAUGCAUGGAGCUGACUGUUACUAAUCGGUCGAGGGCAUAACCAA
rnacentral:rRNA from 1 species